GACGAACGCUGGCGGCGUGCUUAACACAUGCAAGUCGAACGGAAAGGCCCUGCUUUUGUGGGGUGCUCGAGUGGCGAACGGGUGAGUAACACGUGAGUAACCUGCCCUUGACUUUGGGAUAACUUCAGGAAACUGGGGCUAAUACCGGAUAGGAGCUCCUGCUGCAUGGUGGGGGUUGGAAAGUUUCGGCGGUUGGGGAUGGACUCGCGGCUUAUCAGCUUGUUGGUGGGGUAGUGGCUUACCAAGGCUUUGACGGGUAGCCGGCCUGAGAGGGUGACCGGCCAAAUUGGGAAUGAGAGACGGCCAAGAGUCGUAAGGGAGGCGGAAGUGGGGAAUAUUGAAAAGUGGGCGGAAGCCUGAUGCAGCAACGCCGCGGGCGGGAUGAAGGCCGUCGGGUUGUAAACCGCUUGCGCCUGUAACGAAGCGUGAGGGACGGGAAUGGGUAAAGAAGCACAGGAAAACUACGUG
rnacentral:rRNA from 1 species